UUUUUUUUUUAACUUCAUUUCUCUUCUUUUUUAAAAAAAAAACACUUCUAGCCUCUCUUCCUCUUUGCAGAGGUCUCUAUGCUGGCAAGGGCUCCGGCCAAAGAUCCGGUCACCGUCUGUCGUGGGCUCCGCUGCGCCGGCCACCAUACACAGUGGCCGAAAAUCGAAAAAAGGUGGUGGUUGAACGGUGGAGCAGAGACUGGUAUGGGGGUUGACAGAGAUGAUGGGACAGAGGCGGCGGUUAGGGUUUUUUCCUGAUUUGUUUUGUGUUUUUUUCUUUUGGGCUAGUUGGGUUAGGGUUUAAGUUUGGGUUAUUGUUGUUUGGGCUGUUAGUUUUGGUGGGUAUUGGGUUCAAUUUAGUUUGGGUUAAAUUGAGUUAUUGGGCCACUCGGGUUUGAUUGUAAACGGGCCAAAAUUGGCCUACAACACCAUGCUUAGCACAUUUUAUGGAUGAUUUUUCCUUAGAUUUGGUGAAUUCGAUACUCCUAAUGCAUUAAUUUCAUGUUUUAUACUUAGGUGAGCAUAGGAGAAUGAAAAGAACGAGAAACGGGCCAAAAAUAGAGAAAUGGGCCAACAUACGAAAUCAACACGGCCUGGACUUCCUCACACGGGCAGACCACACGACCGUGUCAAUAUGGCAGAAUCGAAGCACUACUCACAAGGGUAGACCACACGCACGUGCCUAUUUAAUAGGCUUGACCACAGCCUGAAGUAAUCGGACACAAGCGUGUCACACGGGCGUGUCCCUGUCGAGCCCAAGCAGAGUCCUAUUCAGAAAAGGCCACUUUUGAGGGCUCUUAGGCAUUCCAAAGCCUAUAAAUACACCCUAGAAGAGGAGAAGAGGGGGACACAGAGGAGGAAUCAGGGAACUGCUUAAGGGAGCCGAUUGAUCCAUCUCAGAAGCCGGAUUCAUCAUCAAGACUGAAGAUCUCCCCUCAAUUUCCCUUCAAGAGUUUUAGGUUUUUCUUUUUGUUUUGUAUUCAUUAUUCUUUUGAGAUGUUUACCUUUUUAGUUAUGAACUAAAACCCCUAAAUACCUAAAGGGAAUGAAACCUAAGACAGAUCUUGUUAUUAUUAUCUGAAUUGUAUGAUAAAUAUUUGACUUGUUCUUAA